UACGUAGGGAGCAAGCGUUGUCCGGAAUCAUUGGGCGUAAAGCGCGCGUAGGUGGCCCUGUAAGUCCGUUGUGAAAGUCAAAGGCUCAACCUUUGAAAGCCGAUGGAUACUGCAGGACUAGAGUACGGAAGAGGCGAGUGGAAUUCCUGGUGUAGCGGUGGAAUGCGCAGAUAUCAGGAGGAACACCAAUAGCGAAGGCAGCUCGCUGGGGACGUUACUGACACUGAGGCGCGAAAAGCGUGGGGAGCGAACAGG
rnacentral:rRNA from 1 species